CUAGAUUUUUGGCUAAUCGCGUGGCGCAAAAACCACGAGGAAAGUCCGGGCAGCAUAGGGAGUGGUAGUCGCUAACGGCGACCGGGGGCGACCCUAGGGAAAGUGCCACAGAAACGAAACUACCCAGUUUACUGGGCAAAGGUGAAACGAGCAGGGUAAGAGCCUGUAACGACCAGCGGUGACGCUGGAAGACGGUAAACCCUACCUGCUGCAAGGAGAUAUGUCUCAGGAGUAAAUCCAAGGUUCCCGCCGAGGCAGUUCACAAAAUCCGCUCGAGCCAUGCGGCAACGCAUAGCCUAGAUAGAUGAUUAGCUCCUUUUACUGCGCAAGCAUUAAAGGAACAGAACCCGGCUUAUAGAUUGUCUAGCCAA
rnacentral:RNase_P_RNA from 1 species